rnacentral:rRNA from 1 species
GGCUUAACACAUGCAAGUCGAGCGGGGGAAGGUAGCUUGCUACCGGACCUAGCGGCGGACGGGUGAGUAAUGCUUAGGAAUCUGCCUAUUAGUGGGGGACAACAUCUCGAAAGGGAUGCUAAUACCGCAUACGUCCUACGGGAGAAAGCAGGGGAUCUUCGGACCUUGCGCUAAUAGAUGAGCCUAAGUCGGAUUAGCUAGUUGGUGGGGUAAAGGCCUACCAAGGCGACGAUCUGUAGCGGGUCUGAGAGGAUGAUCCGCCACACUGGGACUGAGACACGGCCCAGACUCCUACGGGAGGCAGCAGUGGGGAAUAUUGGACAAUGGGGGGAACCCUGAUCCAGCCAUGCCGCGUGUGUGAAGAAGGCCUUAUGGUUGUAAAGCACUUUAAGCGAGGAGGAGGCUACUCUAGUUAAUACCUAGGGAUAGUGGACGUUACUCGCAGAAUAAGCACCGGCCAACUCUGUGCCAGCAGCCGCGGUAAUACAGAGGGUGCGAGCGUUAAUCGGAUUUACUGGGCGUAAAGCGUGCGUAGGCGGCUUAUUAAGUCGGAUGUGAAAUCCCCGAGCUUAACUUGGGAAUUGCAUUCGAUACUGGUGAGCUAGAGUAUGGGAGAGGAUGGUAGAAUUCCAGGUGUAGCGGUGAAAUGCGUAGAGAUCUGGAGGAAUACCGAUGGCGAAGGCAGCCAUCUGGCCUAAUACUGACGCUGAGGUACGAAAGCAUGGGGAGCAAACAGGAUUAGAUACCCUGGUAGUCCAUGCCGUAAACGAUGUCUACUAGCCGUUGGGGCCUUUGAGGCUUUAGUGGCGCAGCUAACGCGAUAAGUAGACCGCCUGGGGAGUACGGUCGCAAGACUAAAACUCAAAUGAAUUGACGG